rnacentral:rRNA from 1 species
UUACGGUCAAAUCACGCUGAAACACCGGUUCUCGUACGAUCACCGAAGUUAAGCAUCGUAGAGCCAGGUCAGUACUUAGAUGGGGGACCGCUUGGGAAUACCUGGUACUGUAAG